rnacentral:rRNA from 1 species
GUGGGGAAUAUUGGGCAAUGGGCGAAAGCCUGACCCAGCAACGCCGCGUGAAGGAAGAAGGUUUUCGGAUCGUAAACUUCUAUCCUUGGUGAAGAUAAUGACGGUAGCCAAGAAGGAAGCCCCGGCUAACUACGUGCCAGCAGCCGCGGUAAUACGUAGGGGGCAAGCGUUGUCCGGAAUGAUUGGGCGUAAAGGGCGCGUAGGCGGCCUGGUAAGUAUGGAGUGAAAGUCCUGCUUUUAAGGUGGGAAUUGCUUUGGAUACUGUCGGGCUUGAGUGCAGGAGAGGUAAGUGGAAUUCCCGGUGUAGCGGUGAAAUGCGUAGAGAUCGGGAGGAACACCAGUGGCGAAGGCGACUUACUGGACUGUAACUGACGCUGAGGCGCGAAAGUGUGGGGAGCAAACAGGAUUAGAAACCCGAGUAGUCC